rnacentral:rRNA from 1 species
UACGUAGGGGGCAAGCGUUGUCCGGAUUUAUUGGGCGUAAAGAGCGUGUAGGCGGCCAGGCAGGUCAGCUGUGAAAACUCGAGGCUCAACCUCGAGACGUCGGUUGAAACCGCUUGGCUAGAGUCCGGAAGAGGAGAGUGGAAUUCCCGGUGUAGCGGUGAAAUGCGCAGAUAUCGGGAAGAACACCCGUGGCGAAGGCGGCUCUCUGGGACGGUACUGACGCUGAGACGCGAAAGCGUGGGGAGCGAACAGG